CACUAUCCUUGCUUGAAGAGGACUUCUUCAUUAAUACAAUGGUACCUCAGGUUAAGUACUUAAUUUAUUCCGGAGGUCUGUACUUAACCUGAAACUGUUCUUAACCUGAAGCACCACUUUAGCUAAUGGGGCCUUCUGCUGCUGCCGUGCCGCCAGAGCACGAUAUCUUUUCUCAUCCUGAAGCAAAGUUCUUAACCCGAGGUAAUAUUUCUGGGUUAGCGGAGUCUGUAACCUGAAGCGUAUGUAACCUGAGGUAUCACUGUACAAGUAAUGUAAUGGGUGAGCUUGUUAACCGUGAUAGCCUUCCUUGCUUCGCAAUCCUAUGCAUGCAUACAAGUCAUAUUAAGUUCACUUAAAUUUACUUCCAGCAUAGAAAUUAGAUUUGAUCAAGAUUUUUAGUUGGCUACCAGGACUAGGUCUGGAGGUCUCCUGCCAACCUCAUUAUCAACUUCUCUUCCCUGAUUCUUGGGGCUUUGUCCAUCCGCUGGCCUCACAUUAGUGCAGCCGAGAUGAAAUGAGCUUAACAUUUGACAAAAGCUUUAGUAAGAACACACACAGAGAGACCCUGCCCCAUAUAGACUUCCCACAUCUAAAGAGGACACAAGAAAAGAGGCAUUUCUUGUGUUCUGAAUUAGUAGAGGUUAGGUAGCAGUGGUGAGUCCAAUGCAUCAUUAAACACAUCAACCCAACCAAGUAUUUAAAAGGAUUAAUCCUUAAAUCAAUCCACCAGUGUGCAGGCCAAACAACUCACACUCAUUUUACCUUUCUAUCCCUACUAAUACAGUACUUAAAUCACUGGGGUUCCAUAAAAGAUAUUGAUGGGCAUUCCAGUACCCAAAUGGUUCUCUCAGCUUCCCCCUUAGCCUACACCCCAGAUGCCAGAUAUGUGCUACAUAUCCCUAGUUGCUUGUUCUGAGCACUUUCUUCCAUGCUUCCAUGUGGCACAUCCAUGUGCCCUCAUGGAAUAUAUUAUGGACGGGUUCCUCUUUCUUACAUUCACUCUAGCCUAACGGCAAGCUAUAAUUUCUGUGCAUUUGGCUUCUCAUUAGGAAACAGCAAUCCACCUUCCCUUUCUCUGUUCAUGUGGCUAAGCUACAGCUACAUGCUGUUUGAUAUCUCCUACACCAGAUAAUGAAGUAUAGGACUGAAGUCUUCCCACUUUUCAUCUCAAGCUCCCCUUGGCAGCAGUGAGUGAUUUCAGAGAGGUAUUUGGUGGGACUGAACUACACAGGGAAAGGGGUUUAAAAAUCCUCUCCAAGCACCAUCAUCCAGAUCCUACUCAGAUCUCCCUAUCAUCCCUGUGGCUUCUAUUAAGAAAUUAGAAUAUACACAUUCAAUGCUUUUUCCAAUAAACACUGCUUUCCUAAGAUUAAAACUUACCAUUUUUGAUCCCGAGUAUUGGUGCCAGUGUAUCUGCUGCUUCAGUAUCACAAUGUGGUUUAUUAUUAUUAUUAUUAUUAUUAUUAUCAUCAGCUAACUGAAAAGUAUUUCAUGUGAUCCAACCUUAACACUUAAUAGGAUUGGGCUGUAAGAAAACAUUGCAUUCAUUGUGCCUGCAUAUAUAAUGGAGAAGAAAACGAGAGCUAUUACUGUGUGGUAGUGAUGAAGAAAUAAUAGGCAUAAUGUAGUCUUGAUGGGAGCCUUAUUGAAACGUCAAAGAAUUGAAACAUCAAUGAGGAUGGCUUGGAAAUCUCUAUUUCAGAGAUGCGGGUGGGUAUUAUGCUGAUGGAAAGCAACGACUCAUCAAUAACAUGGUUUAUGGAGCUUAUUUUUCUUCUUGUGCUACUGUGGGUUUUAGCGAUAUGACGGAUGAGUUGCUAGCAACCGAAAGAAAACAGAAAAGAGACAUAUUUGGAAGAAAAUUAAUGCUAAUUUGAAAUGUUAAUAAUCCUGUGCAGAGAGACAAAAAUAAGGAAAGAUGAUAGCUUUAACUUGGCUGACACCUAUGUGAGUGCAGACUGGCAAAGGGGUGAAUCAGUUUUCCAACAAUAUUAGAGCAUCCUCCAUACUGUACAUUUACUCUCAUUUUGUUCUAAUAAUAAUAAUAAUAAUAAUAAUAAUAAUAAUAAUGCAAUUGGUUAUGAAGAUGAAAUAGCCAACUGGCCCUCCCAUCCUUGUCGUUCUAAAUUUAAUGAGCAAACAGCAUUUCUCUUUAUGCAAAUUAUAAAAUGGAUAAAUAAUUCAUCCUCUAAAAUUACCAAAUUUUCAUAGUCUUAGAACUCAGCUACAGAAAGGAAGAAUUUAAUAUUUAUGAAAAGCUGGUAGCUUGCUAAGAGAGCAUUUCGACAAUUACCAUUAUCACAAAUAAAGCUCAUUCUUUAAUAAUAUAUAAUAAAAAUAAGAAUGAAAAAGAGACAAACUGUGUAAGUCUAAAGGAAAGUGGAGAGCAUACUUUUGAGCACAGCCAUGAUGUGGAAGCUGUGGUUUUAUAUUUAUUCAUUCUUAUCUGUAAGGAUAUGAAGGAAAUGGAAACAAAAUCCAACAAAGCCUGCAAUCUUUAGAACAAGUACUUGGAAAGAAAGCUUAACCGAAGCCAAUAUGGUCAAGAUAAUGAUGUAAAACUGCAAUCUGACUUGGAUUUUCUUGGACAUUAACAUUGCCAGGGAAUAGCAGUGAGCAGGAUGAGACUGCAAGUUGGUGGGAGACACUGGAUUGAUCUACCAGAGGGACUCAGGAAGACAAGCAGGCAGACAGAAAGUCUGGGAAUAGGUAAUAAAGACAGGAGUGCAGGGAUUUGCAAAGGGUCAGAAGAGCGUUAACAGAAAACUAUGGAAUUUGGCUGUUGUCCAGACACAGAUCCAGCCUGAUCCAUAAGCAUCUAUCACUAGGCCACACCAGGGGAGCUAAUAGAGUGGUGGAACCAGGGCUUCUUUUCAGCCGGAACUCAGUUCCAGAACCUUUUCAGGUGGGUGCCAUUGCCAUUACAAGUGUGGCAUUCAUUGUGAGUUCUGGCACCUCUUUUUAUAGAACAAUAGCACUGGGUGGAACUAUCCAUGAACACGAGCGGAUCUUGCAUCUGAAUAAUAAUAAUAAUAAUAUGCUUCAGGCUUCUCUCCACACUUUUUGGCAGCUCACCAAGUCUCACUUCCCAUGGUAAUACAAUUAAAUUACCUGCAAGUAAGUGUGCAGGUAAGGGACGUGGGUGGCGCUGUGGUCUAAACCACAGAGCCUAGGGCUUGACGAUCAGAAGGUUGGAGGUUCAAAUCCCCACAAAGGGGUGAGCUCCCAUUGCUUGGUCCUUGCUCCUGCCAACCUAGCAGUUCAAAAGCAUGUCAAAGUGCAAGUAGAUAAAUGGUGUUUCCAUGCACUGCUCUGGUUCGCCAGAAGCAGCUUAGUCAUGCUGGUCACAUGACCCAGAGGCUGUCUGCGGACAAACGCUGGCUCCCUCGGCCAGUAAAGCGAGAUGAGCACCGCAACCCCAGUGUCAUCCAUGACUGGACUUAAUGGUCAGGCGUCCCUUUACCUUUACCUUAAGUGUGCUUAAGGUCUUUGAAUUAGGAUGACUGGUUUUCACCCAAGUCUCCAUCCACACUGCUAGAAUAUUAGAGAGUGAAGUGACCUACUUAGUGAUUUGAGCUGCUGGUCAUACAGUAUUUCAGCACAGAUUAAGUAUGCUUACCCUUGUUGAUUUUAAUGGGCUUAAGUGUUAUUAACAUUUGUGUUAAGAGUAUGGCCUUUCUUUGUGCUAUAUGUGAUGACUUCUCAUUCAGCCACAUCAAACAGAAACUGCAAAACCCAUUAUUCUUUUUAAGCAGCAGUAGUCUUCCCCAGUACAUUUAUAGGAACACCAUAGGUAGCAAGGCUAUAGUGACAUCAUCAGGGGGACAUGGCUACAGCGACAUGCUAUCGGAUCCCAGUUGUCUCCCUUAGGAAGCAAUGAAUUUGACAGGAAGCAGUUUUUGCAAAAUCAUCCACAUUAAAAAGCCUUAUUUGAAUAAACACUAAGGCUAGUAACCUACUUGAGACAUUUUAACAGCAUUUAUUUACUAUAGGGAUUUUUAAAUUGACAUGCUUUAUAACCAUAAUUAUAAACUGCUAAUAUGAUGUUUGCAAAUAAUUUGUGUCAGAUUAGCAGAAAUAUUUAACAGGGUUACAAAAGGUAUGUGGAGAAAACUGCUUAAAAAAAUAAAAUACCGGUAAUCAUUUUUGUUCUGUGUCUCUCCAUUCCUGUGCAAAUUUGACUAACACUGAGCGGCACUUUUACAUGAAUGAAUGAUUUAAUGCUGAUUUUAAUCAGCUCUCAAUAAAACAAUGACAUUUUAUGUGGCUAUAUUUCAUGUGAGGAAUGUAUGUGAGAAGAUUCCUCUUGCAUCUUAGUAGUACAAUUAAUAUUAGCGAAGUGUAAUCUUUUAAAUAUUAGAUAAUGAAUUAAAGGUAAAGGGACCCCUGACUGUUAGGUCCAGUUGCGGACGACUCUGGGAUUGCGGCGCUCAUCUUGCUUUAUUGGCCAAGGGAGCCGGUGUACAGCUUUCGGGUCAUGUGGCCAGCAUGACUAAGCUGCCGUUUACCUUCCUGCCAGAGUGGUACCUAUUUAUCUACUUGCACUUUGAAGUGCUUUCGAACUGCUAGGUUGGCAGGAGCAGGGACCGAGCAACGGGAGCUCACCCCUUGGUGGGGAUUCGAACCACUGACCUUCUGAUCGGCAAGCCCUAGGCUCUGUGGUUUAGACCACAGCAUCACCUGCGUACCUGAGUUAGUGGAUUAAGGAGGGCAAUGAUCUCUCUCUCUCUCUCUCUCUCUGUGUGUGUGUGUGUGUGUUGUUGUUGUAUUGCUUGGAUUCUAACUAUAUUUUUGUGAAAGUAGCAGGGUUUCACCACCUCCCCAUUGCUUCUGCAGCCCAUGAAUGUCUGCCCCCAUGGAUUGGAGAACCAUUGGGAAUGGUGUAGUCUAUGGCACAGGAUGGCGGGCUGUAGAUUGAAAGGCAAGUUCAUAGAAAUCACCCCAUGUCAUACACAAAAAGAAGAGCAAUUGAUAUUUAUAUUUAUAUCAUUUUUUUGAGGGUGUCCCAUCUCGUUUUGCAUUUUCUAUGCUGACUGGCAGCUGUGUUCUUGGGUAUCAAACACACAUUCUCCAAAUGCUCUGGGGGAGGCCAGGGAUUGAACCUAUAAUCUUUUGCUUGCAAAGUAUGUUUCCUGUUACUGAGUUAUGAUCCUUCCCUCCUUUCCAAAGUCUGAAUACCACUAGUGGAAAAUAAUCUAUUUCUAGUGGUUGUCAAUUUUACCUCAAAUAGACGGUGACUCCUGAAGUAAAUUCUUUCCAGUGGAGCCCAACCCAUAAGAUGGCUUGAUGUAUGAUAGAAGCGAACCCUAUGAGACUCAAGCCAUUUUGGGUUUAAUGAUUUGAACUUUGCAUUUUUUUUAAAAAAAAAUAAGUUUAAAAAGGAUCAGUUUUAUAUGACCUUUAUAAACCUAACAAAAUAUGUGCUACUGCUUUAUGAAUCAGCUGAUUUCAAGCCUGCCUUCAGCACCAGCCCUGGUACAGCAUGAAAAUCAGUAAAAGAGACUUCUGGCUACAUAUAUAUGAGUGCUGAGUCCAGGAGUACCACCAAGUUGCAGGAUUGAAUGUUAACCCCAGAACUGUCCUUAACACCAUUAUAACCUUUAUCUUGGCUAAAUUGAGCUUCCAUUCCAUUACUGCACUAAUGUGAAUUUUGCAAUGCACUUCUCUGACCAUCCAAUAUUUGCAACAAUGCAUAUAUUAGGGGAAAGGGUAUAUAUAAUUAAUAUAUUUGUGAAAAUAACAUACAGAAAUGCAUUGCAUUAGGGGAAAUUGCUUGAAAAAAAUGUGUAAAUUACUCAGAACUGCACCCAAAGAUGUGUUUACUAGAAAAAUUCACACUAAAAUGUUGAAGAAUUUUCAUGAGUCUUUUCCCUUUUAAAACUAUUCACAAACUACCGUGGAAACAUGGAUAACUGAAUUUAAGAUGGGGAAAAUGAGAAACGGGAAGAACUGGAAUGGACAGAUCUUUCAAACCCUAUCCUGUAGUUAUUUGUCAAUGACAAAGGAGUCAUCAGAGGCUGCCUGACCAAUCAGUCAUCUCCAUCUUGUCCAGUACAAAACACCACAUCCUGGAUAUUAUCUGUCAGAUGGGCUGGCUCAGCAAUAGGUUCAUAUAGAUCCAUAUCUCCCAUGAAUUAUCUGAUUAUUUCACUGUGAAAAAGCCUGAAAUCCCAGGAACUGUAAAUCUGAGGGUUAUUAAGAUCGAAUCUGAAAUCACCUUUUUCAGCUCAGGUAAAAUACUUGAUGUGGGGAGGUCAGCACACCACCUAACAGCUCUAUUCUGCUGUAAUCUUCAACACAAGGUAUACAUACACAGAAUGUGCUGUAUCAGACUGGUUUCUUUAUGGACUACCACACCUCGCCCACUGACUUUUGGUCAUUCCUGAGCAGAAUAUUUGGCUUAAAGUCAUUGAGACCAAACAGAACUCUCCUUUCUCUCUACCUCAUCCAACCAAGUUCCUAUGAAGCAGACCAGGUCCAGCUUUCAUUCAUGGUGAUGUCAUGGACAAUAGAUAUUUCAGUUCAGGCCAACCUGAGAGUAAAAAUGAGCAAUUGCAGGCUCUGUGGAAGACAAAAGAGCUAUUGAUCCACAUCCAGAGCUUUGUUAUUUGGGUGAAAAUUAAAACAUGUAAAUUUAGGGAUAAGGCUAAUUUCUUCCACAAUUCUUCUGGAGCUUUCCCAGUCUGGUGGAGUUUACAAAGAGGACCAAACCUCAACACACCUCUUAGGACUCACACAGCAUUUUGUAAAGCUGCAAGUUAAAGGCCAUGAUGUUCUGUUUUCUGUGGGUUCUACCAACUCUAGAACUUUCUGAGUACUGUACAGUAUAUUUGCUAUCCCAUAGCAGCUGGGUUGACAAAAUUUACAUAAAAGUGAGGAGGAUCGAAAGGGAGCAAGUUCACACAUCUAUGGUUAAACUAGGUCAUGGUUAGUGGAGAAAUGAGGUCUUUCUCAACAGUUUGAGAUUAACUGGAGAGAAUGCCACCAACUUUGCUGCAACUGUUUGGCUGUGACAACUUGGGCGUAUAAAUAGAUAAAAGUGUGAAUUUAGUCUGUUUUUUAUGCUGGUCUGUGACCGUAAUAAGCUAAAUUCAUUCAUUCAGUCUGUGAUUUUUAAAUGAAUGCUCCCCUUUCCCAGAAAGCAUGUUUUGUAACAAAACAGUUGUCAGGAUUCAAGGUCUCUGGCAUUUAUUUUUUAAAUGAACUUAAAGAAAUGUAUUCUAGACUCAAGCCUCACCAAAUGUUCAUGCGAUAAUUUUAUUCUGCCACAGAUGCUUGCCAUCCAGUUGAGGCUUCUGAGUCUGACACAUUCAGUGGCUACAAUGCAACUGCAGAAAUGGAAGAGUUUAAAGGCUGAAGGAAGCAUACAUAAGACAGCACUGCAAAAAGAUCAUGGUAAAAACAUGAGCCUCUGUGGACAUAUUCCUUUAAUAUUCCUUUAUUGAUUCAAUUCAUACCCUUCCCUCCUUCUGAAGGAGCCCACGGCAGCAAUAUGCUAUCUUCCUGUUAACUUUCCAGGUGUGCAGGAUCAGAACCAUACUGCCUGUGAUCAUACAUUCUUUCCAUUGCCUCCAGCUUUUCACUUUCUCCUCUGGCUCACCAUUAUAGGAGGCUAAAAUGAUUGGCUUUCCUCCAGAAUGCACAGACUUUGAGUGAGUGUGCAGAGAUGAUAAAAAAAAAUAACCAUUUUGACUUAUAGAAAGAUUGAUAAUAAGGGCUGAACUCGAUGGGGCUGAAUACCUACAUCAAGUUCUCCUUCUCCCUUCCCAUUGCAUCUAGGGUCAAUUAUCCCACAUCUUGAUGUUGCCAUCUUGCAUGUCUCAUUCCAUGAUCCACAUAAUUAGCUUGUGUAGAAAUACAUGAUGUGUUAAUGUCAAGACAUAGAGUAAGUGAUCUUGUGAUUAAUGGAGGAGGCAGUAAGACUAAUUCAGCAUUGGAAUGCUGGUUUCGGCAGUCACCUGUGUCAAGUGUAAUGUAUGUUGUUGUUGUUGUUGUUGUUUAGUCGUUUAGUCGUGUCCGACUCUUCAUGACCCCAUGGACCAGAGCACGCCAGGCACUUCUGUCCUCCACUGCCUCCCGCAGUUUGGUCAAAAGUGUAAUGUGUAGCUCAGCCCAAAUAAUUAACUAAUGCAGAGAAGAAAAAUCCAACAAACCUGAAGGUUAGGGCAGAUUUAUAGAGUGGCUGAGAAGCACUCUUGCCACAUUAAAUCACCUCACUCUUCCUCUUCCUCUCUCUCCCUCCACCCACCAUUCAGCUAAGAAAAGACCACCAGCAGAAGCUGGCUGUGAAAGCGAUGAUUGAGCCAAUCAUGAGCUUGAUUUCUACCCUCAGUCCCUCAAAGCAAUUCAACUCCUAAAGGUUACAGGCUCAGUUAGGCUUUAGCCAGUUCCUAACCAAAUGUGAACAUGGGUGGGCAGCUGCAUUUUGAAAAAUAAGGAUCCCCUCACAAACCCAUUCCCAUUAAAUGGGAACCAGAAGUAUAGCUAGAGCUUUACUGGGGCUGUGUUCCCUUUAGCAGUACCAGCAUCCAGGUUUGGCUAUUAUGUAAGAUGCAAAGCAAGAUAGACUUUGAAGUGUGAAAAACCCACUGUAAAUUUGUAUAUCUGUCUUCACACUGAUUGGAAUAGAACCUUAUAACUUCUUCAGAGUUCAUUUAGGUCGGCUGGGUGGACCUUGUGAUUAUUUUUUUACAUCUCUUGGAAACAGGACUACAAGUUCUAAUCACCAGUAACUGAUGAAUAGAUUCAAAUGGUAAUGGCUAAAUUUCGAUCCUAAAUUGUGUACUAGGGUGUAAGUAUAAUUGAACACUGUGGGAGUUACUUCUGAGCAAACAUACAUAAGAGUGCAUUGCAAAAAGAUCAUGGUAAAAACAUGAGCCUGAGAACACAUCCCUUUAAUAUUUAUGGAGCUGUAUGAUGUACUUUUGCUUUUAGAGAGGAAUACAGAACCUAAAGAACAAUGCCUUGUUUCACGAAAGUUUGCUCUGACUAAAUCCAAUGGAAUACAAAGGCAAAUAUCUUCAACAAUGUUUACACCCCCAUUAAGAUGGAUUUUGUUACAUGAUCUUGAUUAUGUUUCUAAUUGCCACAUCCCCACACCCUGCAAUUGCUAUCUAACAAUCCUUGCCAAAAACACACACACAUACCCUCAAAGGACGUAACAACGGAUGAAGUUCCUUGCAUUAGCGACUGGCAUACCUACUCUGAGUAAAGGCACUGUAUCACUUAUUAGCAGGGUAGCAAAAAAGACCAAAACAAGGCAAAACCUUCUCUGUACAGUAAUUAGUGAGAUAUAUCUAAUGACUCAUAAAGGAAUUCUUUUCAUUUGUUGCUCAUUGUGAAUACUGGUACAUUCUUUUAGAUCAUUCUACAAAUUGCUGCUCAAAGGCAUCAAACGGCUAUAAUGUCAGAGCCAAGUUGAACUCUCUGUUCAGUCAUUGCUCUGCCUAUAGUUUGUUUGUUUGUUUGUUUAAAGCAUUUUGUCCCCACUGAAGAAGCCCCCAUGGUGGCUUGUUUUCAUACCUACUUUAUUACAUUUAUGAGAUCAAUAAACCAGGCAGUUCCCGCCUGCAGUCUUACUUUCUAAAAGACAUAGCACAAAAGGAAAAGUGGGAUGGGAGGAUAGAGGGGAAUAAGCAAACUUAGGCACCAAUUCUUAAAUUUACAUAGUUCUUAAAAUGACCAGCUGGAAUGGAAAAUAGUUCAAGGAGAGAAGGAGCCAGCGGGAACUGGACUCCCAGCAAAGCCAUUGGAGUGGUCCUAUGUAACAAAAGGUACAUUCACACCAUUCUUGGAAUAUAGAAAAGGCUGAGAGACAUUUCAUUUUUAAAUCAGUUGCCACCACCAUCAUGGUGCAGUCUGAACAUUUAGCCUGAUGGAAUGCUUGCUCCCAGAUGACAGUUGAAGAAAGAGGAGCAUGAUGGAAUUGUAGAGCCCAUGGAGAAGCCCAGCAGUCCCAUCUCUCCAUCUGCUGCAGACAUGAUCUUACAGCACUUGACAUACAACAGAGAGUUUGGAUCAGAACUUUAAAACGGUCAACUAGUACAGAGUCCCAACAGGUACAUAAGAGGUUUCCUCUUGUCUCUAGGUUCCAUUCAGGUCUGCUUUAGAAUAGAGAGCCAGUGUGGUGUAGCGGUUAAGAACGGUAGACUCUUAAUCUGGUGAACCGGGUUCGCAUCUCCGCUCCUCCACAUGCAGCUGCUGGGUGACCUUGGGCUGGUCACACUUCUCUGAAGUCUCUCAGCCCCACUCACCUCACAGAGUGUUUGUUGUGGGGGAAGAAGGGAAUGUUAGCCACUUUGAGACUCCUUCGGGUAGUGAUAAAGCGGGAUAUCAAAUCCAAACCCUUCUUCUUCUAGGAAAUGGAACAAAAAAUGAUAAAAGAACCACAAGGGCUUUCUUCUUUAAAAUUUAACUAUCUAAAACAUUUUCCAUCCACCUCUCACACAGAGAAUACUAAGUAUGGACAAAAAAUGUUGCAGAUUUUAGAUCAAUUAAGGACAAUAAAUAAUAAUUUCAUGCUUCUUUUUAAAAAACAAAAAAAUAAAUUUAAAGCAUAAAUUUUUGGAUGGUUUUCCCAAAAAAUAUUGGAAUAUUACCCCUAUCUGGCACAGCUGUGUUUACACUCAGCUGUGUUGGAUCUAGUGAGGUGUGGCAGUCAGGGCAAUUGGCAUCUACCUCCCAACUCUUGGAUCAGUCUCCAUAUCUGGCAGCCCUGUUUAGGGAAGUUGUUAAUAUUUAAUGCUGUAUUGUUUUUAACACUUGAUUGGGAGCCACCCAGAGUGGCUGGGGAAACUCAGCCAGAUGGGCGGGGUAUAAAUAAUAAAUUAUUAUUAUUAUUAUCUGUACAUUCAGGUUGCAGUGAUGGUCAGAGUGAUUUUUCACCACCUCUUUUUAAGACAAAAAAGAAGAAGCUGUGUUUCUCCAAUGGACUGCAAUUCUCAUUAUCCCUAGCCACCAUAAUCAAAGGCUAUAUAUAAUGGGAACUGGAGUCUAACAACAUCUGAAGUACUACAGGCUCCCCAUCCCUGCUUUAGUGAGAAAGAUGUGGAUAAUUAUAAAUGUGAAAAAUAAUAAAGUGCUGACAUUUGUUGAAAUGUAUAUUAAUUUGCAUUUAUUGUGUUUUGCAUUUCUAUGCAGCUCCUCUGCUCAGCAAAGCAGAAGACAAGUCUUUGUGUUGUGUUUAUGUUGGUGUGGGGUGAUCGAUUAUACGUCCAGCUGGACUGUGGGUUUGGGAAGGUGACACAUUCUAAAUUACCAGACACCAUUUCUAAAUUUCAAGAGACAAAACUGUGAUAAAACAAGAGGAAUAAAGAAAUUGGCUUUUUGGAGGAUUCUCUCUUCCUUCAGCCCUUCUUAGGCUGUCGGUAAACACAGCCUGGCAAAUGACAAAUGGUUGUAGUCAGAAUGUCCUUUAUAGGCACAUUAGUAUUCUAAACAUGCUUAGAUCCUGCAUAAAAACCAAAUUUACUUCUGUCAGUUGUAUUUGAGACAUUCUACCUCAAGUGAAUGGAUGUGUGUAACCCUCUCUUUGCCAUAGCAAAUAAAUGACUCCAUAGAAAGAGGAUACAAUUCACAUUUCCACACUUGAUAAAAGCAUAGGUUGUCGAGUUGAGAAAAUAUGAAUAGUGCUGUGAAAAACACUUUGGUACUUCUGCCAUAUUUUUUAAACAAAUUCAGGACCUUGGAUAAUUCAGAGAAGAUAUAUUUGCACAGCAAGCUAUUCAGAUAUUGGAAAGCAAUGAAACAGACAGCUAGCAGAGGCAUAGGUAAACCAGUGUGCCCAUAUAACAUGAAAAUUGCCCUGAUAAAAUAUUUCUAAUUGAGAACAUAGAAUGCUGCCUUAUAUACCAGGUCAAAUCACUGGUCCAUACAGCUGAGACUAUUGACUACUCUAAGCUCUGCUGGAUCAGGACAAAGGUUUAUCUACCCCACUAUCCCAUUUUCCACAGUGGUCAAUCAGUUGCAUAUUGAAAGCCUGCAAGCAAGGCAUGUGACCAACAUUUUCCCAACAUUAUACAGUACUUCUGUUCCCCCAUAACUGAUAUUCAGAGGUAUGCUGUCUCUGAAUCCAGAGAUAUAAUGACAUAGUUUAACUAUGUGGUGUUCCAAAAAGUACUUCCCUUUGACUCAAUCUUCCUUAAGCACCCACCAUUCAACCUCAUUGGAUAACCCUGAGUUCUAAUAUUAUAACAGAACACCUCGUUUCUCUCUCGCAUACACUUUCUCUCUCCCUGUCCACUUUCUCCACACCAUCCAUGAAUAAUUUUGUAGAUUUCUAUAUGUGCCCCAAUUCACUUUUCACCUCCUAAACUAAAAAAAAGUACCAAAUAUAACUUUCAUUUAGAGAGGAGCUGCUCUUGCCUCCUGGUGGUGGAUCUUCAGGAGCUUUCUCAUCACCUGGUAAAUGAUCUUUAAAUGGAGAAGUCAAGGACUGACCCCGGGAUAUUCUUCUCUGUGAUGCAGCUACAGUCCUAGGCAUGCAGAAAUAGAAUAUCAGAAAUGGAACAGAAAAUGGAGCAGAGGUGGUCCUCUAUUUUUAUUCAAAUCAAUAUUGUUUAUUUGUACAAAGAAAAUGGAUAAAUUAUUAUGGUUAUUUAUUAAAUUUAUAAACCAUCCAUCAUCUGUGGAUCACAGGGUGCUUUACAGUGUAAUGGGGAGAUAUCACCCAAACUAUUUAUACACCUGAGUCCUGUUAAGCCAUUAAUUCCUUUUAAAAAUCUUAAUCUCUCUCUCUUUCUCUCUCAUUUUAUUAAUCCUUUAAACUUUUAGUGCAAAGCAAUCACAUUGAUUUCCCUUAGGGUGGUCCUGGGCUUCUGCCAGUCAUUGGAAAGGGUCACACUGUGAGGGAGAUGGGUGCUGUUAUCAUGCAGGCAACAGAUUGAUACAUGCCUCUCUUAUCUAUCUGUUGGAAGCUGGAAUCAUCAAACUAGGCUUGGGUAUCAUCACUUGAUGCAUGGCUGCUUGCUAGGCAGCUUGCUGACCCACAUACUAAGCCACUUGCUGAUAGGUCAGCUGCUGCUGACCCUUUGCUCCCUCAAUGGUCUGUUCCCACAGUGGCAUUUUAAUAUAGGCCUGCACAUUCCUCAGGACAUGGCUAUAACAGAUCAUUUGCAUGUAAGGAUAGGCUGUCACAGAAUAUCCAUGCACAGAACAUUAAAAAUUUCCUCUAGUCAAAUGCUUUUGGCAAGAGUCCUUACACACAUUUAGGUAACAGUCAUCAAGACAUAAUAAUAAUAAUAAUAAUAAUAAUAAUAAUAAUAAUAAUAAUUUUUAUUUAUAUCCUGCCCUCCCCAGCCGAAGCCGGGCUCAGGGCUGCUAACAACAAUAAAAUAGUACAAGCGAUGCAUAUGCAUGUGUGAACAAGACCAUAUAUGUAGUUUACUUGAAAUUAUACUGGGUUUAGUUUCUGAAUUUGUCUUUUGUCAUUGAUGGACCACAUUAAAUGGCUUCUAUUCAGAAUCACUUGCAUAUUAUCAAACCAUUUGAAAUCCUGUUUAUCUGAAUUAAUGAUGACAGAUUUUAAAAGAACUUAGGUACCCAUUUACAAGAUCAGUUAGCAAAUAUUACUGGAGACAGAUACAAUCUAAAGAGGGCUUACAGUGCUGGAUGAGGCCCAGGAAGCUUUGUCAACUUUCUCUAGCUAUGGACAAAGACAAAUGAAGAGGCAGGAGGGAGGCAAGGAGUGGUGAGGGCUAUGGUCUUAAGAAUGCAAGUAGAGCUCUGCUGCAUCAAACCAAAGGUCCAUCUAGUUUAGCAUCCUCUGGCCAGCCAGAUGUCCCUAGAAAAUCCACAAACAGGACUUGAAGGCAACACCUCCUGACUCCUGAAUGUGACAGCCCUCUCUUGCAGUUCCUCUCCAGCAACUGGUGCUCAAAGGCACACUGCCUCUGUAUCUGAAGUUUCAAAAUCCAUAUAGCUACAUGGCUAGUACCCACCGACAGACCAAUGAAAUUAGUCUGAUCCACUUUCAAAGCCAUCCAAACUAGGUGCUAUCAUAUGGUAACAAACUCUGUAAAUUAAUUUUGUAUCAUGUGCACAAUCUAUCCUGAAUCUCAUGCAAGUCACUUUAAUUAGAUGAUAUUGAGUUCCCGUAUUAUGACCAAGGUCUGUCUGUCUGUCUAUCUCCUGAACACCUCCUGAAUGGCUGGAGAAUUUCAGUUCUUUCAUGGAAAAUAUUCAGUAAAAUGUGCUUCCUAAUUUUACCAACCUUGACUUUUGCAUGAAACUGUUAAACCAAUUUUAAUGCUAUUUUAAUAGUGUGGAUGGAAGGAUUGGUCUUGGCCCCAACUCCUUCCAGUCCUCCAUCUUAGCCCAUUGCUUUUCAUCCUCCAUUAGCAGCUGGCAGGGACUGGCAGAAUGCUGAUGAGUGUGCACCAGAGGAAGGGGGGCUGGAGUCUGACUUGAGAGAGGGGGUAAGUGAUUUGUGGGGAACUGUAACAGCCAGCAGGCAAGAGGCAGCUGGCGGAUGGAGCACAGGAUGGGUCAGAAGAAGAGGAGGAAGAGGCAAGUUAGGCAAAUGAAGUUGCUACUGAGAAAUCAACACCACGACUGGUGUGUUACUCCCUUCGAAGUGCCACUCGGGUGAUUAAUCCUCCUCCCGAGCCACCGGUGUGACAGAUAUCCGUAAGCAUCUGCACGCAGUAUCAGCAGAUAUCAGCACACAGCGAAAGUGAGGCUUGAGGCAUGGAUACGAAGCACUAUGUUUAUUAUUUACAGGACAAAGGAAAACAUGGCUCCUCUUACUUUCUUCAUCAGCAAGAGAAGAGAAAAAACAAAAGCAAUACAGAACGGAACAGCGUAUCUGAACAUCCAUUCCCAUGACAUCCAACACUGUGGAAUGUAAACACAGACACGUGACAACAACAAUCACACAUCUGCAGCACGGGGGAAAGAAUUCCAACAGUUGCCAGGUGCUUCCCCAUCCUUCCCUGAACCACUGCCUCCCAGAACCAAGAGGGGGUUGAAAAGGGAUGAGCAGAGGAUGUUGCCAUGCAGGCACAGUCUCUGGCUGCCUACGCACAACCCAUCAGUGAAAGAUAUAUAAACUAUUGGAGGGGGGGAGUCCCCUGUGGCUGCAACUAUUCCAUAGAGUGUAGACCUGGGAAUAGCUGCUUAGAUGUUAGAUUGGUGUGAGUAGGUAUCUGUAGAAG